AGAGCGGGCCUUUCAGGCAUCCUCUCCUAAAAACUUUCACGAGCCGUGUCGUCUGACGCGGCUCUUUUUUUGCGUUCA
rnacentral:sRNA from 1 species